AUUGCAUGGCUGUCGUCAGCUCGUGUUGUGAAAUGUUGGGUUAAGUCCCGCAACGAGCGCAACCCUUAUCCUUUGUUGCCAGCGCGUGAUGGCGGGAACUCAAAGGAGACUGCCGGUGAUAAACCGGAGGAGGGUGGGGAUGACGUCAAGUCAUCAUGGCCCUUACGAGUAGGGCUACACACGUGCUACAAUGGCGUAUACAAAGGGAAGCGACCCCGCGAGGGCAAGCGGAACUCAUAAAGUACGUCGUAGUCCGGAUUGGAGUCUGCAACUCGACCCCAUGAAGUCGGAAUCGCUAGUAAUCGUAGAUCAGAAUGCUACGGUGAAUACGUUCCCGGGUCUUGUACACACCG
rnacentral:rRNA from 1 species